GGCGCAGUGGUCUAAUGGUAUGAUUCUCACUAUGUAGGUACCUGCUAUUCUAGGCGGAGGGUGAGUGAUCUGGGUUCAACUCCCAGCUGCGCCG